rfam:Streptosporangium subroseum strain CGMCC 4.2132 genome assembly, contig: Ga0079903_1069
GGUCAUGAGUGCCAGUGACAAGCCCCGGCUCGCUGGCCGGCAACCCUCGCGUCCGCGGCGGGGUGCCCCGGGUGAGGACCUGGCCCGGCACGUCGCGUGUCGGGCAAGCGCGGGCU